GAGGGACGGAUGAUCGCGGGCGCUUUUGCGCGUGAGGAAAGUCCGGGCUUCGCAGGGCAGGAUGCCGGAUAACGUCCGGUGGAGGCGACUCCAAGGAAAGUGCAACAGAGAAAAGACAGCCACCCCAGGGUGGUAAUGGUGAAACGGCAGUGUAAGAGACUACCGCCGCUGCGGUAACGCAGCGGGUCAAUGCAAACCCCAUCCGAAGCAAGACCAAAUACGGGAGAGAUACGCCGGCCCGGCGUUCUCCCGGGUAGGUCGCUUGAGCCGCAGGGUAACCUGCGGACUAGAUAGAUGAUCAUCCAAGACAUAACCCGGCUUACAGUCUCUCUUGU
rnacentral:RNase_P_RNA from 1 species